AGCAGCCGCGGUAAUUCCAGCUCCAAUAGCGUAUAUUAAAGUUGUUGCAGUUAAAAAGCUCGUAGUUGAAUUUCGGGGUUAGUAGGUUGGUCAUGCCUCUGGUAUGUACUGGUCUCACUGAUUCCUCCUUCCUGAUGAACCGUAAUGCCAUUAAUUUGGUGUUGCGGGGAAACUGGACUGUUACUUUGAAAAAAUUAGAGUGUUUAAAGCAGGCUAACGCUUGAAUACAUUAGCAUGGAAUAAUGAAAUAGGACGUUCGAUCUUAUUUUGUUGGUUUCUAGGAUUGACGUAAUGAUUAAUAGGGAUAGUUGGGGGCAUUAGUAUUCAAUUGUCAGAGGUGAAAUUCUUGGAUUUAUUGAAGACUAACUACUGCGAAAGCAUUUGCCAAGGAUGUUUUCAUUAAUCAAGAACGAAAGUUAGGGGAUCGAAGACGAUCAGAUACCGUCGUAG
rnacentral:rRNA from 1 species